CCUACGGGGAGCAGCAGUGAGGAAUAUUGGUCAAUGGGCGUAAGCCUGAACCAGCCAAGUCGCGUGAGGGAUGAAGGUUCUAUGGAUCGUAAACCUCUUUUAUAAGGGAAUAAAGUGCGGGACGUGUCCCGUUUUGUAUGUACCUUAUGAAUAAGGAUCGGCUAACUCCGUGACAGCAGCCGCGGUAAUACGGAGGAUCCGAGCGUUAUCCGGCUUUAUGGGGUUUAAAGGGUGCGUAGGCGGCCUUUUAAGUCAGCGGGGAAAGUCUGUGGCUCAACCAUAGAAUUGCCGUUGAAACUGGGAGGCUAGAGUAUGUUUGAGGCAGGCGGAAUGCGGGGUGUAGCAGUGAAAUGCUUAGAUAUCAAGAGGAACCCCGGUUGCGAAGGCAGCCUGCCAAGCCAUGACUGACGCUGAUGCACGAAAGCGUGGGGAUCAAACAGGAUUAGAUACCCGUGUAGUC
rnacentral:rRNA from 1 species